UCCGAGUUGACCCCGGCAGUCUCCUGCGAGUCCCCGCCAUUACGCGCUGGCAACACAGGACAAGGGUUGCGCUCGUUGCGGGACUUAACCCAACAUCUCACGACACGAGCUGACGACAGCCAUGCAGCACCUGUGUUACCGUUCCCUUUCGGGCACACCCGCCUCUCGGCGGGCUUCGGUACAUGUCAAGGGUAGGUAAGGUUUUUCGCGUUGCAUCGAAUUAAUCCACAUAAUCCACCGCUUGUGCGGGUCCCCGUCAAUUCCUUUGAGUUUUAGCCUUGCGGCCGUACUCCCCAGACGGGGCACUUAAUGCGUUAGCUUCGGCACGAAGGGAGUCGACACCCCCCACACCUAGUGCCCAUCGUUUACGGCGUGGACUAC
rnacentral:misc_RNA from 1 species